rnacentral:rRNA from 1 species
UACGGAGGGGGCGAGCGUUAUUCGGAAUUAUUGGGCGUAAAGGGCGCGUAGGCGGCCCGGUAAGUCAAGGGUGAAAUCCCUCGGCUCAACUGAGGAACUGCCUUUGAAACUGUCGGGCUUGAGGCCGGGAGGGGGUAGCGGAAUUCCCAGUGUAGCGGUGAAAUGCGUAGAUAUUGGGAGGAACACCAGUGGCGAAGGCGGCUACCUGGACCGGUUCUGACGCUGAGGCGCGAAAGCGUGGGUAGCAAACAGG